rnacentral:tRNA from 1 species
GCUCGGGUAGCUCAACGGUAGAGCGUUCCUGUUCAAAAAAGAACAGGAAAGACUAGGGGUUCAAUUCCCCUCCUUUGCA